rnacentral:rRNA from 1 species
AUUGAACGCUGGCGGCAGGCCUAACACAUGCAAGUCGAACGAGGGGGGGAGGGGUGAGUAAUGUCGGGGAAAGCGUCAGAGGGGGGGGGAUAAAUACUGGAAGCGGGAGAUAACAGCGUAUACUAUCAGAUGUGCAGAGAUGGGUUUAGAGAGUUGGUGGGGUAACGGCUCACAAAGGCGACGAUCCCUAGCUGGUCUGAGAGGAUGACCAGCCACACUGGAACUGAGACACGGUCCAGACUCCUACGGGAGGCAGCAGUGGGGAAUAUUGCACAAUGGGCGCAAGCCUGAUGCAGCCAUGCCGCGUGUGUGAAGAAGGCCUUCGGGUUGUAAAGUACUUUCAGCGGGGAGGCGUUACCCGCAGAAGAAGCACCGGCUAACUCCGUGCCAGCAGCCGCGGUAAUUC